AGUGGCAGACGGGUGAGUAACAUGUGGGUAUCUACCCUUUGGCCUGGAAUAACACGAGGAAACUUGUGCUAAUACCGGAUAAGUCUUUACGGAGAAAGCUUUAUGCACCAUUGGAUGAGCCCGCACUUGAUUAGUUUGUUGGUAGGGUAAUGGCCUACCAAGACUAUGAUCAAUAGCUGAUUUGAGAGGAUGAUCAGCCACAUUGGGACUGAGACACGGCCCAAACUCCUACGGGAGGCAGCAGUGGGGAAUCUUGCACAAUGGAGGAAACUCUGAUGCAGCGAUGCCGCGUGAGUGAAGAAGGCCUUUGGGUUGUAAAGCUCUUUCGUCGGGGAAGAAAAUGACUGUACCCGAAUAAGAAGGUCCGGCUAACUUCGUGCCAGCAGCCGCGGUAAUACGAAGGGACCUAGCGUAGUUCGGAAUUACUGGGCUUAAAGAGUUCGUAGGUGGUUGAAAAAGUUGGUGGUGAAAUCCCAGAGCUUAACUCUGGAACUGCCAUCAAAACUUUUCAGCUAGAGUAUGAUAGAGGAAAGCAGAAUUUCUAGUGUAGAGGUGAAAUUCGUAGAUAUUAGAAAGAAUACCAAUUGCGAAAGCAGCUUUCUGGAUCAUUACUGACACUGAGGAACGAAGCAUGGUAGCGAGAGGAUUAGAUACCCUCGUAGUCAUGCCGA
rnacentral:rRNA from 1 species